GGUGGAGACCGGGCCUGCUGCUGGGGUUUGGGAGGGGCGGAGAUUGAGGAGCCAAUUGCUGUGCCCUGUUCUGGCAAAAGAACAAGAUGCGUUGCAAGCCAGAGUGAUGAAUUCCACUUUUAACGUCGUCUCCGUGGCAUUCUGCCUAAAUGAUGGGCAUGGAAAUGGUGCUGAGGGAUGUGGGCUGAAUCGAGAACACAGGGACUUUUGUCUUCUGGGUUUAAUAACAAAAUGCAGUGCAAAAACUCCAGGUACUAGCCAAGUCAUGUGA
rnacentral:lncRNA from 1 species